rnacentral:rRNA from 1 species
CCUUACACCUGGGGCUACACACGUACUACAAUGGUGCAUACAAAGGGUUGCGAUACCGUGAGGUGGAGCUAAUCCCAUAAAGUGCAUCCCAGUCCGGAUAGGAGUCUGCAACUCGACUCCUUGAAGUCGGAAUCGCUAGUAAUCCCGGAUCACCAUGCCGGGGUGAAUGCGUUCCCGGGCCUUGUACACACCGCCCGUCACACCACGAAAGUUGGUUCUACCCCAAACCAGUGAGCUAACC